AAGCACUACGUGAGUCCGUGGUCAGUUCCCUUGCCCACUUACGACACUCUUCCCCUCGACUUUUCUACAUUUUGGAAUCUUCGUUCAUACCUAACCCAUUACCAUUACAUGUGGCGGCUCCCUCUUCUGGAUUUGCCGGCCAAAUGGUUUUACGAGGAGCAAGGGUCAUAGUUCAGCCUGCCUGGCAGGUGGCGAGUUGGUAUACCCAGCUUUCCUAGCAUCCCUGAAGCGCCUGUCACUUUUUUAUCCCGUUCUACCUGAAGCUUAAGCUCCCAAAACAGUUCUUGCUACCUAGUAGAGAGUUGAAAAGAAGGGCAGAAAAGAGAGCUGAAGCCCAGCUGCUUUGUCGUUCCUGUUUGCCCAUCUACGGAGCAGACUCAUACCUUCCGCUUCCUUUAACCAUGUGGGUCCUGGAGCCUGGAGAUCAAACUCAGGUCAUCAGGCUUGCAGCAAGCACCUUUCUUUAGCCACUGAACCAUCUCCCUGGAUCUUUUCUUUUUCUUUUCUUUCUUUCUUCUUCUUCUUCUUUUUUUUUUUUAGUUGUGUAUGUAUAUGUCGUACAGAUGAGUACAUGCGCGAGAAUACCACUGCACAUGCGCAGAGGCCAGAGGACCGACUUCGAGGAGUAGAUUCUCUUCCACAGGGAGUUUCAGCGAUCAAACUCAGGUCAUCAGACUUGCGCAGCAAGCACUUGCACCCACUGCCUUCUCUUGGGCUGCAGUGGCAUUCUUAAUACGUCCAUGUUCCAUAGAGCAGAAGAUCUGAUUGGAGCAUGCAUUGGCCUGUUACAGUUUGCUCUCACGGUUCGUUCGGGUAACUGAGCCGCGAUGCCCUGCUGUAGAGAAGCUGCGAUCAAGAGGAUAAGUGGAAGGCUUCUCGAUGUGGUUGUCCUCCUCUGUGACUGCUGAGGAUAUGUGUCGGCUUCUAGAAAGGGAUGAAACGAAAACCCAGACGGUUCUGCCAUUGCAGUCAUCUAGACUUACUGAGAGGAGAGGACAGACAUCGGGGUGAAGAGCCGGCGGCAUUCUUGUGUUCCAACACAGAAGACAGCAGGACUGUGAUUUACAUGAAGGGACUUUGGUCUCUGGGAAACUACUUCUAUUUUAACAGAGCUUGCUUUUGUUCCAGUGCGGCCAAUGGUGUCUCAGCGGAGGGAACACUUUGUGAAAAAUAAGCGCUUCAAACUUCUGUCUCCCUUUUGUGCCAAUAAAAGUCAAACGUGCCCGAAUGACAAAA